GGGCCACCAUGAGUUGCUCUAAUAGAGAAACAGCCUGCUAAAUUUGUUCUUCUUGAUUUUCACCAUCAGAUCUCUGGGACCCAACUCCACAAUAAUGAGGCUCCACGCUUUUCUCUUGGCUCUCUUUGCCAUCUUCCAGGUACUGCACGCUAUCAGCAGCGCACUCAAUUUUGAAAGACCUUGCUACCUCCGAGGAGGUAUCUGCCUGAAGCAGGGAACACCAAACUGCGAGCCUUUCCGAGGACCCUGCAGAGCUUUCACUGUUUGUUGCAAAAUAAGAAGUUGACAAGCAAGAGGGUCAAGAAAC